UCGGCCUGGUGGUUAGUGGCGAACGGGUGAGUAUAUAUCGGAACGUGCCCAGAUCGUGGGGGAUAACGUAGUGAAAAUUACGCUAAUACCGCAUACGUAUCUACGGAUGAAAGCGGGGUGAUCGCAAGACCUCGGCGCGAUUGGAGCGGCCGAUAUCAGAUUAGCUAGUUGGUGGGGUAAAAGCCCACCAAGGGCGACGAUCUGUAGCUGGUCUGAGACAGACGACCAGCCACACUGGAACUGAGACACGGUCCAAACUCCUACGGGAGGCAGCAGUGGGGAAUUUUGGACAAUGGGCGCAAGCCUGAUCCAGCAAUGCCGCGUGCAGGAUGAAGGCCUUCGGGUUGUAAACUGCUUUUGUACGGAACGAAACGGUGAGCUCUAAUAAAGUUUGCUAAUGACGGUACCGUAACGAAUAAGCACCGGCUAACUACGUGCCAGCAGCCGCGGUAAUACGUAGGUGCGAGCGUUAAUCGGAAUUACUGGGCGUAAAGCGUGCGCAGGCGGUUAUGUAAGACAGAUGUGAAAUCCCCGGGCUCAACCUGGGAACCUGCAUUUGUGACUGCAUAGCUGAGUACGGUCAGAGGGGGAUGGAAUUCCGCGUGUAGCAAGCGAAAAAUGCGUUACGAUAUGCGGGAGGGAAACCACCGAUUGCGAAAGAGCCAAUCCCCCUGGGACCUUGUUACUGAAGCUCAUUGGCACAAAAGCGGUUGGGGCCAGCCACACAGGGAUUAGAUUACCCCGGUUAUCCACGCCCAUAACGCAUGUUCACUGGUUGUAGGGGUCUUCAACUCGACUCCAUCACAAACUA
rnacentral:rRNA from 1 species